AGGGUUGUGGCUCAGUGGUUGAGUGCUUGCCUAGCAUGUGAGAGGCCUGGGUUCAAUCCUCAGCACCACAU
rnacentral:tRNA from 1 species